CCAUUGAUAAUGGGAGAAAGAUGUGAUGUAAUUUACUGGCACUCUUGAGCUCCGAGAGACGCCGAAGAGGAGCGAGCCUCCUUCCCCCGCGUGACGAUCCAGUGUGGCACCAUGUCGAGGAGGCUGGCAAUGGGAUAAGGCACGUCCGAACAUGCUGCUUCUUCUCCGGCUCCUUCCAAAAUGUGUCCCCCGACGGUGCGUUUGUGAGCCACUCGGAUGCGUGUCCUACAUUUAGAGCGCACUUGGUCAUGAACUGAGAACCAUCUCCAGAGCAAAUGUCAGACGCCAUGUUGUAGAGAGGAUCGUCGGGAUUCUCGUGGACGACAAACACAGGAACAAAAUGGUUGUCGUGCCUGGGGGAAUGGUAAUAGGUGUCCAAAAGGGAAGUUCUUGAACGUCUUACAGCUGGCCCCGAAGUCAAACACCUCUUGUGGAUCACUGUAGUCUGCCAGCUGCUGACCGAUGUCGACAACGAGGUCGUCUGUGGCGUCGCCGUUCAUGUUUCCCAACAAUCCCUCCGUGGAGUUUCGGAAUUCUUCGGGUAGGAGCACGGAAACGGCGAGAGUUCCCUCUCUGAGCCGCACCUCAACGCCGGCGCCGCUGGGGAACAUGACGGUCACGUUUGUAGCCACAGGAGAAAACACAAACACCCCUGGAAGAGAUAUUUGGAGAACAUAAAAGUGGUUUAAAUCA